AGCAGCCGCGGUAAUUCCAGCUCCAAUAGCGUAUAUUAAAGUUGUUGCAGUUAAAAAAGCUCGUAGUUGAAUUUCGGGAUCAGUACGCUGGUCGUGCCUUUGGUAUGUACUGGUGUCACUGAUUCCUCCCUUCUGAAGAACCGUUAUGCCAUUUAUUUGGUGUGGCGGGGAAUCAGGACUGUUACUUUGAAAAAAUUAGAGUGUUUAAAGCAGGCUCGCGCUUGAAUACAUUAGCAUGGAAUAAUGAAAUAGGACGUUUGAUCUUAUUUUGUUGGUUUCUAGGAUCGACGUAAUGAUUAAUAGGGAUAGUUGGGGGCAUUAGUAUUCAAUUGUCAGAGGUGAAAUUCUUGGAUUUAUUGAAGACUAACUACUGCGAAAGCAUUUGCCAAGGAUGUUUUCAUUAAUCAAGAACGAAAGUUAGGGGAUCGAAGACGAUCAGAUACCGUCGUAGUCUUAACCAUAAACUAUGUCGACUAGGGAUCGGAUGAUGUUAAUUUUUAAUGACUCAUUCGGCGUCCG
rnacentral:rRNA from 1 species